CUGGAACUUUUGAUAUUAUGAACCAAUUUGAUUAUAUUUCUAACUUAUAUACUGCAUUUCUUUUUUAUUUGGGAAAAAGGAUAUCAAGCAUCUUUCCAGGUUUUAAGACUGGAAUUUCAGUUAUAGUAUUCACCAAAGAGUAUUGAUAUCCAAGUUAGGAUUCCUUCGGUUACCAGGCUGAGGCUAGACUUGCACUGACUCCAUUCUAGGAAAGGGGAGAAAGGAAGCAAAAAGAAAAGAUGGCACUUCAUAGAACCUCCCAGUUGUAAGUCACCAGUCAACUGAAUUUGUGAUCUUGAACAAAGGAUAAACAUGGAAAGCAAAGUACUAUGAAUGGUACCUAUCACAUCUGGUAAAGUGCAGUCAAACAUAUUUGUGCAAUGAUUCCUUCCUUUGUAAUGGUUAACAAUGGGUGAUAAAGAUAUUGUUCUGUU